AAAUGCGAUACGUAGUGUGAAUUGCAGAAUUCAGUGAAUCAUCGAAUCUUUGAACGCACAUUGCGCCCUUUGGUAUUCCAAAGGGCAUGCCUGUUCGAGCGUCAUUUGUACCCUCAAGCUUUGCUUGGUGUUGGGCGUUUUUUGUCUUUGGUUGCCAAAGACUCGCCUUAAAAGGAUUGGCAGCCGGCCUACUGGUUUCGCAGCGCAGCACAUUUUUGCGCUUGCAAUCAGCAAAAGAGGACGGCAAUCCAUCAAGACUCCUUCUCACGUUUGACCUCGGAUCAGGUAGGGAUACCCGCUGAACUUAAGC
rnacentral:misc_RNA from 1 species